AGUGAAUUCUGCUAUGAGUCUUAUUUGUUUGGCUGAGGCCCAGGCUGUAUACAUAAGAAAGGCUGAAGAAACAGGAAAUACAGGGUUUGGUGUUUUGGCAAAGCUGCACCAUGGUGUUGCAGAACUGCUCAGUGAAGCAAUUGGUGCUUUAAAUUCUGGGAUUGGAGAGUACAAGGCUAUUGCAUCACGCUUUUUGGAAUUUAUGUCAUCUUGCAAAGCUCUACAUGAUUUACGAAGUCAGACAUACUUCGCUAAAGGUUUAAAGAAUGAUGGCCAAGUUGGAGUUGCCAUUGGAGUUCUUUGUAAUGCAUUAAUCAGUGUGAAAAGGAAAUUGCCAGGGGAGGAUUCAUGGAAAACUGUCUUUACAAAAGAAAUUGAAAAUUCGGAAGAUACCCUCAGGAAGUUUGAAUAUGAGAAUGAGUUUGUUUGGCAUGAAAAGAUUCCUUCUGGGGAUGAGUUGCCAUUACCCCAAGGCAACAAAAUUGUGAAGAUAGAACCUUAUCAGCCCAAAAAAUGGGAGAGAGAACUUGUUUUUAAGAUUUAGUUGAAUGUGUUAGAGACCUGUUGUAUAUAAUUGAUUUUUGAGGAAGCAAGGGCAAUCAAGUUUCUUGUUUUCUUCACCCUUUUAGCGUGC
rnacentral:misc_RNA from 1 species